rnacentral:rRNA from 1 species
UAAUUGAAGAGUUUGAUCAUGGCUCAGAUUGAACGCUGGCGGCAGGCCUAACACAUGCAAGUCGGGCGGUAACAGGGAGAAGCUUGCUUCUCCGCUGACGAGCGGCGGACGGGUGAGUAAUGUAUGGGGAUCUGCCUGAUGGCGGGGGAUAACUACUGGAAACGGUAGCUAAUACCGCAUAAUGUCUACGGACCAAAGCGGGGGACCUCCGGGCCUCGCGCCAUCAGAUGAACCCAUAUGGGAUUAGCUAGUAGGUGAGGUAACGGCUUACCUAGGCGACGAUCCCUAGCUGGUCUGAGAGGAUGAUCAGCCACACUGGGACUGAGACACGGCCCAGACUCCUACGGGAGGCAGCAGUGGGGAAUAUUGCACAAUGGGCGCAAGCCUGAUGCAGCCAUGCCGCGUGUAUGAAGAAGGCCUUCGGGUUGUAAAGUACUUUCAGUCGGGAGGAAGGUG